rnacentral:rRNA from 1 species
AGUGAACGCUGGCGGUAGGCCUAACACAUGCAAGUCGAACGGCAGCACAGUAAGAGCUUGCUCUUACGGGUGGCGAGUGGCGGACGGGUGAGGAAUACAUCGGAAUCUACUUUUUCGUGGGGGAUAACGUAGGGAAACUUACGCUAAUACCGCAUACGACCUACGGGUGAAAGCAGGGGAUCUUCGGACCUUGCGCGAUUGAAUGAGCCGAUGUCGGAUUAGCUAGUUGGCGGGGUAAAGGCCCACCAGGGCGACGAUCCGUAGCUGGUCUGAGUGGAUGAUCAGCCACACUGGAACUGAGACACGGUCCAGACUCCUACGGGAGGCAGCAGUGGGGAAUAUUGGACAAUGGGCGCAAGCCUGAUCCAGCCAUACCGCGUGGGUGAAGAAGGCCUUCGGGUUGUAAAGCCCUUUUGUUGGGAAAGAAAAGCAGCAGGUUAAUACCCCGCUGUUCUGACGGUACCCAAAGAAUAAGCACCGGCUAACUUCGUG